AGGACGAACGCUGGCGGCGCGCUUAACACAUGCAAGUCGAGCGAGAUCCGGUCCUUCGGGACUGGGGAAAGCGGCGAACGGGUGAGUAACACGUGGGUAAUCAACCCUCGGUACCGGGAUAGCCCGAGGAAACUCGGAUUAAUACCGGAUGGCCCAGCAGCUCUUCGGGGCGGCUGGGAAAGGUAGCUUCGGCCUCCGACCGAGGACGAGCCCGCGGCGGAUUAGCUUGUUGGCGGGGUAAUGGCCCACCAAGGCGACGAUCCGUAGCUGGUCUGAGAGGACGAUCAGCCACACUGGGACUGAGACACGGCCCAGACUCCUACGGGAGGCAGCAGUGGGGAAUCUUGCACAAUGGGCGGAAGCCUGAUGCAGCGACGCCGCGUGAGGGAAGAAGGCUUUCGGGUUGUAAACCUCUUUCAGGAGGGACGAAGCUACUCGGGUUAAUAGCCCAGAGGGUGACGGUACCUCCGAGAAGAACGCCCCGGCUAACUACGUGCCAGCAGCCGCGGU
rnacentral:rRNA from 1 species